UGGGGAAUAUUGGACAAUGGGCGAAAGCCUGAUCCAGCCAUGCCGCGUGUGUGAAGAAGGUCUUCGGAUUGUAAAGCACUUUAAGUUGGGAGGAAGGGCAGUAAGCGAAUACCUUGCUGUUUUGACGUUACCGACAGAAUAAGCACCGGCUAACUCUGUGCCAGCAGCCGCGGUAAUACAGAGGGUGCAAGCGUUAAUCGGAUUUACUGGGCGUAAAGCGCGCGUAGGCGGCUAAUUAAGUCGGAUGUGAAAUCCCCGAGCUUAACUUGGGAAUUGCAUUCGAUACUGGUUAGCUAGAGUGUGGGAGAGGAUGGUAGAAUUCCAGGUGUAGCGGUGAAAUGCGUAGAGAUCUGGAGGAAUACCGAUGGCGAAGGCAGCCAUCUGGCCUAACACUGACGCUGAGGUACGAAAGCGUGGGGAGCAAACAGG
rnacentral:rRNA from 1 species